rnacentral:lncRNA from 1 species
UGAUGGUAGACCGAGCUUUUUCCUGAAGAAAAUCAGGAGUAUUCUCAUUUUGGGAUGUAGAUCUGUAUACUUAUGGCUGUACAUAUAGUUUUCCCUCAAACUGUUACUCAGUUUUCCUGGAAUGGGAUGGGAGGCAGAUGUACACUGCUGAAGACUGAGGUUAGUCUGUUCAAGUAAUGGACAAGACGGUAAGUCCCUGAUCUCCCAGUGGUGGUUUUGGAGGUCCCAACACCUGUUUUCUGUAGACAGCACCAAAUCUACCAAUUUUUGUCACCACAGCAGCGACAGCUGGAAAGCAGUGCCAGUUGUGUGGAAUCCAAGGGGCACUCUAGCUUUGCCCACAGGCCAAGGUUGGAGACACAAACUUCUCCACAUGUGGAGUUUUGGUUUACCAUCUUCAAGAAAUGCAUUGGGCUGAAUUAAACCCUAAACUGGCAAAGAAAGAGUUGUCAGGAGCUGCUGGGGAGGGCAGUCAGUGGUGAGUGACAGCACCUGGAGCUGCUGACAUUUUAAGUAGGUACACCUGUAGGGGACUUCUCCCUGGAAAGUGCCUUCAGAGCUGCUCUUCUAAGAGAAGGUUUGGAUUGAAGUUUAGGAUCAAAUUUAGUAUUGAGAAGAGGCUUAUGUUAGAUCUGCUUCUACCUGGACAAUUUGGCUUACAGUCUGAAUCUAACUUCAGAGAUUUUAAUCAUGGUCACAAAUCAGGUAACAAGAGAAUCUCCCUCUGUAUUUGCAUUUGUUUGUUGUAUUUUAUAUGGAAUAUGUUUUGAGGCAGAUGUUUGGCAGUGGCCUUUUAGGGGAG